rnacentral:rRNA from 1 species
GGGUGAGUAACACGUAUCCAACCUGCCGUCUACUCUUGGACAGCCUUCUGAAAGGAAGAUUAAUACAAGAUGGCAUCAUGAGUCCGCAUGUUCACAUGAUUAAAGGUAUUCCGGUAGACGAUGGGGAUGCGUUCCAUUAGAUAGUAGGCGGGGUAACGGCCCACCUAGUCUUCGAUGGAUAGGGGUUCUGAGAGGAAGGUCCCCCUCAUUGGAACUGAGACACGGUCCAAACUCCUACGGGAGGCAGCAGUGAGGAAUAUUGGUCAAUGGGCGAGAGCCUGAACCAGCCAAGUAGCGUGAAGGAUGACUGCCCUAUGGGUUGUAAACUUCUUUUAUAAAGGAAUAAAGUCGGGUAUGCAUACCCGUUUGCAUGUACUUUAUGAAUAAGGAUCGGCUAACUCCGUGCCAGCAGCCGCGGUAAUACGGAGGAUCCGAGCGUUAUCCGGAUUUAUUGGGUUUAAAGGGAGCGUAGAUGGAUGUUUAAGUCAGUUGUGAAAGUUUGCGGCUCAACCGUAAAAUUGCAGUUGAUACUGGAUAUCUUGAGUGCAGUUGAGGCAGGCGGAAUUCGUGGUGUAGCGGUGAAAUGCUUAGAUA